CCUACGGGUGGCAGCAGUGGGGAAUAUUGCGCAAUGGGCGAAAGCCUGACGCAGCGACGCCGCGUGAGGGAUGAAGGUCUUCGGAUCGUAAACCUCUGUCAGCAGGGAAGAACGGUCACUGUGCUAAUCAGCAGUGAAUUGACGGUACCUGCAAAGGAAGCACCGGCUAACUCCGUGCCAGCAGCCGCGGUAAUACGGAGGGUGCGAGCGUUAAUCGGAAUUACUGGGCGUAAAGCGCUCGUAGGCGGUAUGUCAAGUCAAGGGUGAAAUCCCCGCGCUCAACGUGGGAACUGCCUUUGAAACUGGCAAACUGGAGUGUGUGAGAGGAUAGUGGAAUUCCAGGUGUAGGAGUGAAAUUCGUAGAUAUUGGGUAGAACACCAGUGGCGAAGGCGACUAUCUGGCUGUACAUUGACGCUGAGGCUCGAAAGCAUGGGGAUCAAACAGGAUUAGAUACCCCUGUAGUC
rnacentral:rRNA from 1 species